rnacentral:rRNA from 1 species
UACGUAGGGACCGAGCGUUGUCCGGAUUCAUUGGGCGUAAAGAGCUCGUAGGCGGCCACUCAAGUCGAAUGUGAAACCUCGAGGCUUAACCUCGAGCCUGCAUUCGAUACUGGGCGGCUAGAGUCUGGUAGGGGGAGUCUGGAAUUCCUGGUGUAGCGGUGGAAUGCGCAGAUAUCAGGAGGAACACCGGUGGCGAAGGCGGGAUCCUGGGCCAGUACUGACGCUGAGGAGCGAAAGCGUGGGGAGCAAACAGGG